UACGUAGGGGGCGAGCGUUGUCCGGAGUUACUGGGCGUAAAGGGUGCGUAGGCGGUCGGGUAAGUCUGAUGUGAAAUCUCACAGCUUAACUGUGAAACUGCAUUGGAUACUAUCCGGCUCGAGGAAUGGAGGGGAGACUGGAAUACUUGGUGUAGCAGUGAAAUGCGUAGAUAUCAAGUGGAACACCAGUGGCGAAGGCGAGUCUCUGGACAUUUCCUGACGCUGAGGCACGAAAGCCAGGGGAGCAAACGGG
rnacentral:rRNA from 1 species